GAGCAUGAUCCUCAAAUUGACCCCUUCGAUUAGAGGUGCAUUGCAUCAUUGUCUCUUGCCAUUUGCUGAAAAAUGAAAAUGUCCUGUUAGUUGCAUCUUCAAGCUGGCUGCAAGCAUUCCUGUACAUAACUUAUGGUGUACCUGAAAGAGUCAUGUCUUUGCAUCUCUAGCAUGCACUGAUUAAUGUUACUUAGAUGUCCAAAUCUUAUGCUUACAAUGCUUAGAAGAUUGCUGACAGAAACAUCGUACUUGCCCUGGCUGAUGGCACAAGCUUGCAUGAAUCUCCUGUCUAUUUGGCUACUGUUCUUGAGUACUUGGCAGCUGAGGUUUUGGAGCUGGCUGGGAAUGCUGCUAGAGAAAAUAAGAAGUCCUGCAUCAUUCCAAGGCAUGUUCUUUUGGCUGUCAGAAAUGAUGAGGAUUUUGGAAAAUUGCUAGCUGGUGUGACAAUUUCAAGUGGUGGUGUUUUGCCAAACAUAAACUCUUUCUCUUGCCUAAGAAGUCUGAAGAAGCUUCAAAAUCUCCAAAAAAGGAUUGAUUGGGUUGGGAUGAAUGCUUGAGCCCUACUUUGUAAUUCUUAUU